rnacentral:rRNA from 1 species
GAGGCCUGCCUGCCCAGUGACAAACGUUCAACGGCCGCGGUAUCCUGACCGUGCAAAGGUAGCAUAAUCACUUGUUCCUUAAUUGGGGACUGGAAUGAAUGGCCUCACGAGGAUUCAACUGUCUCUUACCUCUAAUCAGUGAAAUUGACCUCCCCGUGAAGAGGCGGGGAUACAACAACAAGACGAGAAGACCCUAUGGAGCUUUAAUUUUCUGUCUUAACUACUAAAUAACUAACCCUACUGGGAUAAAAAAAAAGAGAAAUAAGUCAGUAAUUUCGGUUGGGGUGACCUCGGAGAAUAAGACAACCUCCGAAUGAUUUUAACCAAGACAAACAAGUCAAAGUAUUAAAAAUCAAAUUGACCCAAUUCAUUUGACCAACGGACCAAGUUACCCUAGGGAUAACAGCGCAAUCCUAUUCAAGAGUCCAUAUCGACAAUUAGGGUUUACGACCUCGAUGUUGGAUCAGGACAUCCCAAUGGUGCAGCAGCUAUUAAUGGUUCGUUUGUUCAACGAUUAAAGUCCUACGUGAUCUG